rnacentral:lncRNA from 1 species
UACGGCGCAGUGUGUUUUUUAUAUAUGGACGUUGUUCUAGCAUUUCUCUGUAGUGCUUUCCACUAUUUUUGUUUUUCCUGAUGUACAUAUGUUGCGAAUGGUUUUUAAUUUUUUCCGAUGCAUUUUCAGUGCUUUCUAGUAAGCAUGGUCAUGCCCCUAGCUAGCAUGGUAACAUUUAGUGUAGCUAGUAGAUGUCUUAUCCUUGUAUGUUUCUAUUCCCUCCAUUUCGGUAUAGACGGCCGAUUUUCCUAGUCUUCCCUAUUCCAGUAUACGGGCCGAUAUCCCUUGAUUUCGUCAUACAAAGCUGCGAGCGCGCCCGCCU